CCCGGACCCGGUGAAAACCCGGGUGGCUCUUCCGGCCGCCGAUCCGCCGGACAACC
rnacentral:ncRNA from 2 species